ensembl:misc_RNA Metazoa_SRP Metazoan signal recognition particle RNA
GCCGGGCACGGUGGCGUGUGCCUGUAAUCCCAGCUACUCAGGAGGCUGAGGCAGGAGAAUCGCUUGAACCCGGGAGGCAGAGGUUGCAGUGAGCCGAGAUCAUACCACUGCACUCCUUCCUGGAGAUCAUACCACUGCACUCCUUCCUGGGUGACAGAGCAAGACUCUAUCUUAA